GUGGGGAAUAUUGGUCAAUGGGCGAGAGCCUGAACCAGCCAAGUAGCGUGCAGGAUGACGGCCCUAUGGGUUGUAAACUGCUUUUAUACGGGGAUAAAGUGAGGGACGUGUCCCUUUUUGUAGGUACCGUAUGAAUAAGGACCGGCUAAUUCCGUGCCAGCAGCCGCGGUAAUACGGAAGGUCCGGGCGUUAUCCGGAUUUAUUGGGUUUAAAGGGAGCGCAGGCUGAUUAUUAAGCGUGACGUGAAAUGUAGCCGCUCAACGGCUGAACUGCGUCGCGAACUGGUAGUCUUGAGUGAGUUCGAUGUUGGCGGAAUUCGUGGUGUAGCGGUGAAAUGCUUAGAUAUCACGAAGAACUCCGAUUGCGAAGGCAGCCAACAAGGCCUUUACUGACGCUAAAGCUCGAAGGUGCGGGUAUCGAACAGG
rnacentral:rRNA from 1 species